rnacentral:rRNA from 1 species
GCGCUAUAGGGUUGGCCGAUGGCUGAUUAGCUAGUUGGUGGGGUAAAGGCCUACCAAGGCGACGAUCAGUAGCUGGUCUGAGAGGACGACCAGCCACACUGGGACUGAGACACGGCUCAGACUCCUACGGGAGGCAGCAGUGGGGAAUUUUGGACAAUGGGCGAAAGCCUGAUCCAGCAAUGCCGCGUGUGUGAAGAAGGCCUUCGGGUUGUAAAGCACUUUUGUCCGGAAAGAAAUCCUUGGCUCUAAUACAGUCGGGGGAUGACGGUACCGGAAGAAUAAGCACCGGCUAACUACGUGCCAGCAGCCGCGGUAAUACGUAGGGUGCGAGCGUUAAUCGGAAUUACUGGGCGUAAAGCGUGCGCAGGCGGUUUGCUAAGACCGAUGUGAAAUCCCCGGGCUNCACCUGGGAACUGCAUUGGUGACUGGCAGGCUAAAGUAUGGCAGAGGGGGGUAGAAUUCCACGUGUAGCAGUGAAAUGCGUAGAGAUGUGGAGGAAUCCGAUGGCGAAAGCAGCCCCCUGGGCCAAUACUGACCCUCAUGCACGAAAAGCGUGGGGAGCCAACCGGAUUAAAUACCCUGGUAACCCACCCCCUAAACAAGUCCACUAAUUGGUUGGGGAAUCAUUUCCUUUAAAACCAAACUAACGCCUGAAAUUUAACGCCUGGGAAGAACGGCCCCCAAAAUAAAACCUCAAGGAAUUGACGGGGACCCCCCAAACCGGGGAAGAAUGGGAUAAAUUCCAUCCACCGCGAAAACCCUU